CCUACGGGUGGCAGCAGUCGAGAAUCAUUCACAAUGGGGGAAACCCUGAUGGUGCGACGCCGCGUGGGGGAAUGAAGGUCUUCGGAUUGUAAACCCCUGUCAUGUGGGAGCAAAUUAAAAAGAUAGUACCACAAGAGGAAGAGACGGCUAACUCUGUGCCAGCAGCCGCGGUAAUACAGAGGUCUCAAGCGUUGUUCGGAAUCACUGGGCGUAAAGCGUGCGUAGGCUGUGUCGCAAGUCGUGUGUGAAAGGCGCGGGCUCAACCCGCGGACUGCAGAUGAUACUGCGAGACUAGAGUAAGGGAGAGGGAACCGGAAUUCUCGGUGUAGCAGUGAAAUGCGUAGAUAUCGAGAGGAACACUCGUGGCGAAGGCGGGUUCCUGGACAUUAACUGACGCUGAGGCACGAAGGCCAGGGGAGCGAAAGGGAUUAGAUACCCCAGUAGUC
rnacentral:rRNA from 1 species